UAGGGAAUCUUCCGCAAUGGACGCAAGUCUGACGGAGCAACGCCGCGUGAGUGAAGAAGGAUUUCGGUUCGUAAAACUCUGUUGUUAGAGAAGAACAGCGCAUAGAGUAACUGUUAUGCGUGUGACGGUAUCUAACCAGAAAGCCACGGCUAACUACGUGCCAGCAGCCGCGGUAAUACGUAGGUGGCAAGCGUUGUCCGGAUUUAUUGGGCGUAAAGCGGGCGCAGGCGGUCAAUUAAGUCUGAUGUGAAAGCCCCCGGCUCAACCGGGGAGGGUCAUUGGAAACUGGUUGACUUGAGUGCAGAAGAGGAGAGUGGAAUUCCAUGUGUAGCGGUGAGAUGCGUAGAUAUAUGGAGGAACACCAGUGGCGAAGGCGACUCUCUGGUCUGUAACUGACGCUGAGGCUCGAAAGCGUGGGUAGCAAACAGG
rnacentral:rRNA from 1 species